UACGUAGGGUGCGAGCGUUGUCCGGAAUUACUGGGCGUAAAGAGCUCGUAGGUGGUUUGUCGCGUUGUCCGUGAAAACUCACAACUCAAUUGUGGGCGUGCGGGCGAUACGGGCAGACUGGAGUACUGCAGGGGAGACUGGAAUUCCUGGUGUAGCGGUGAAAUGCGCAGAUAUCAGGAGGAACACCGGUGGCGAAGGCGGGUCUCUGGGCCGAUACUGACGCUGAGGAGCGAAAGCGUGGGGAGCGAACAGG
rnacentral:rRNA from 1 species